rnacentral:rRNA from 1 species
GACGGAAGGUGCAAGCGUUGCUCGGAAUCACUGGGCGUAAAGGGUGCGUAGGCGGCCGUGCAAGUCUGGCGUGAAAGCCCCGGGCUCAGCCCGGGAAGUGCGCUCGAAACUGCGCGGCUCGAGUGCCGGAGGGGAGAGUGGAAUUCCUGGUGUAGCGGUGAAAUGCGUAGAUAUCAGGAGGAAUACCGGUGGCGAAGGCGGCAUCCUGGACCAUAACUGACGCUGAGGCGCGAAAGCUAGGGGAGCAAACGGG